AACAACCUCUGCUCAAUAUUGCUAUGAAUUGGGUAGUUAAAUCUCUCUAGAUUUGAGUAAUUCAAUCUCUCAUCUUUUUAAAAUUUCUUUUACUGGAAAAACUACUAAACUUUCCACUAUUGCAAUCCUUGUAAAUCUAUCCUUGACAUUGGUUUGUGCUCAUUUGUAAUGAAUUUAUACAAUAAUUAGCAAUUUAAAAUAUUCGCAGUCUACUUUUUUUGUUUUAUGCUGACAACAUAGAGUUGUGCAUUACGCAAAUCUACACCGCCCAUAGUUUUAUUGGAAAGGGAAACAACAUUUGGUUUCAUAAAAAUAUUUCCUCUUCUGUUAUGCAUUUCAGGGAACCUUGGAAACAGUAGAUAGUAAUAAAGGCUUUUUUUUACCAUCUUGGUAAGCCACACACAACAAAGGACCUUUUCUACAUUGGCAAACCACAUUGUUUUUUAAUUUUUUUUUUAAUGCAGAUUUCAGGUAGUUUCUGGUUUGCUGUUGACUUUCACUGUGCUUACUGUGGUCUGAUGAGAAUUUAAAACUAAUAGCAGUUGAGGAGAAGCAUAAUAAUUGUCAAUACCUACGUCAUACCUUGAUAGAGAAAAACAGCCGUAUUUUGCUGUAAAAAGUCAUAAUUUUAAAGACCUUUUCAAAGCCACAAUUAUGGCUCUUUUUGCCCUUAAUCUUCGAUGGAAUCUUGAACUUAUGCGUUAAUAAUAAAAUGGCGUAUUUAAAAUCAAUUAAAAAAUGGAGUACUUUUGUUACCCACAUGGGGUAUCCUAUUUGGAUUUGUGAAGUUUGAAGUAAAAAAUUACAAUAAAGCACAACAGUUGGUUAAUAUAAGGAAUUGGUAUAAUAACAUCAGGUAAAGUAAAAACUUAUAAACUGGAUUGCAGGCAUUAACAUAACUCCAAAGUAGGUUGGUAUUUUUAUUUUACCGUUGUUUUUUUUUUUUUAUAUUUUGUUGCAUUAUUAAAAUAAAAUAAAGAUGGCUUGCACAGUAGAACAGAACAAAAAUUUAAAGCUUUAGUUUAAAAAGCAAAAAAUAGACUAGUUAAUGUAGGCUUUAAUAAUAUAGGAGCUAAAGUAUACCAUAAAGUCAUUUUUAAAUAUAUCAA